rnacentral:rRNA from 1 species
CCUACGGGAGGCAGCAGUGAGGAAUAUUGGUCAAUGGCCGAGAGGCUGAACCAGCCAAGUGGCGUGAGGGAAGAAUGUCCUAUGGAUUGUAAACCUCUUUUGUCAGGGAGCAAAGUCACCCACGUGUGGGUUUUGGAGAGUACCUGACGAAAAAGCAUCGGCUAACUCCGUGCCAGCAGCCGCGGUAAUACGGGGGAUGCGAGCGUUAUCCGGAUUUAUUGGGUUUAAAGGGUGCGUAGGCGGGUUAUCAAGUCAGCGGUAAAAUCGUGGGGCUCAACUCCAUCCAGCCGUUGAAACUGGUGAUCUGGAGUGGGCGAGAAGUAUGCGGAAUGCGUGGUGUAGCGGUGAAAUGCAUAGAUAUCACGCAGAACUCCGAUUGCGAAGGCAGCAUACCGGAGCGCGACUGACGCUGAGGCACGAAAGCGUGGGUAUCGAACAGGAUUAGAUACCCUAGUAGUC